GGGUUGUGAGGUUAAGCGACUAAGCGUACACGGUGGAUGCCCUGGCAGUCAGAGGCGAUGAAGGACGUGCUAAUCUGCGAUAAGCGUCGGUAAGGUGAUAUGAACCGUUAUAACCGGCGAUUUCCGAAUGGGGAAACCCAGUGUGUUUCGACACACUAUCAUUAACUGAAUCCAUAGGUUAAUGAGGCGAACCGGGGGAACUGAAACAUCUAAGUACCCCGAGGAAAAGAAAUCAACCGAGAUUCCCCCAGUAGCGGCGAGCGAACGGGGAGCAGCCCAGAGCCUGAAUCAGUGUGUGUGUUAGUGGAAGCGUCUGGAAAGGCGUGCGAUACAGGGUGACAGCCCCGUACACAAAAAUGCACAUGCUGUGAGCUCGAUGAGUAGGGCGGGACACGUGGUAUCCUGUCUGAAUAUGGGGGGACCAUCCUCCAAGGCUAAAUACUCCUGACUGACCGAUAGUGAACCAGUACCGUGAGGGAAAGGCGAAAAGAACCCCGGCGAGGGGAGUGAAAAAGAACCUGAAACCGUGUACGUACAAGCAGUGGGAGCACGCUUAGGCGUGUGACUGCGUACCUUUUGUAUAAUGGGUCAGCGACUUAUAUUCUGUAGCAAGGUUAACCGAAUAGGGGAGCCGAAGGGAAACCGAGUCUUAACUGGGCGUUAAGUUGCAGGGUAUAGACCCGAAACCCGGUGAUCUAGCCAUGGGCAGGUUGAAGGUUGGGUAACACUAACUGGAGGACCGAACCGACUAAUGUUGAAAAAUUAGCGGAUGACUUGUGGCUGGGGGUGAAAGGCCAAUCAAACCGGGAGAUAGCUGGUUCUCCCCGAAAGCUAUUUAGGUAGCGCCUCGUGAAUUCAUCUCCGGGGGUAGAGCACUGUUUCGGCAAGGGGGUCAUCCCGACUUACCAACCCGAUGCAAACUGCGAAUACCGGAGAAUGUUAUCACGGGAGACACACGGCGGGUGCUAACGUCCGUCGUGAAGAGGGAAACAACCCAGACCGCCAGCUAAGGUCCCAAAGUCAUGGUUAAGUGGGAAACGAUGUGGGAAGGCCCAGACAGCCAGGAUGUUGGCUUAGAAGCAGCCAUCAUUUAAAGAAAGCGUAAUAGCUCACUGGUCGAGUCGGCCUGCGCGGAAGAUGUAACGGGGCUAAACCAUGCACCGAAGCUGCGGCAGCGACGCUUAUGCGUUGUUGGGUAGGGGAGCGUUCUGUAAGCCUGCGAAGGUGUGCUGUGAGGCAUGCUGGAGGUAUCAGAAGUGCGAAUGCUGACAUAAGUAACGAUAAAGCGGGUGAAAAGCCCGCUCGCCGGAAGACCAAGGGUUCCUGUCCAACGUUAAUCGGGGCAGGGUGAGUCGACCCCUAAGGCGAGGCCGAAAGGCGUAGUCGAUGGGAAACAGGUUAAUAUUCCUGUACUUGGUGUUACUGCGAAGGGGGGACGGAGAAGGCUAUGUUGGCCGGGCGACGGUUGUCCCGGUUUAAGCGUGUAGGCUGGUUUUCCAGGCAAAUCCGGAAAAUCAAGGCUGAGGCGUGAUGACGAGGCACUACGGUGCUGAAGCAACAAAUGCCCUGCUUCCAGGAAAAGCCUCUAAGCAUCAGGUAACAUCAAAUCGUACCCCAAACCGACACAGGUGGUCAGGUAGAGAAUACCAAGGCGCUUGAGAGAACUCGGGUGAAGGAACUAGGCAAAAUGGUGCCGUAACUUCGGGAGAAGGCACGCUGAUAUGUAGGUGAGGUCCCUCGCGGAUGGAGCUGAAAUCAGUCGAAGAUACCAGCUGGCUGCAACUGUUUAUUAAAAACACAGCACUGUGCAAACACGAAAGUGGACGUAUACGGUGUGACGCCUGCCCGGUGCCGGAAGGUUAAUUGAUGGGGUUAGCGCAAGCGAAGCUCUUGAUCGAAGCCCCGGUAAACGGCGGCCGUAACUAUAACGGUCCUAAGGUAGCGAAAUUCCUUGUCGGGUAAGUUCCGACCUGCACGAAUGGCGUAAUGAUGGCCAGGCUGUCUCCACCCGAGACUCAGUGAAAUUGAACUCGCUGUGAAGAUGCAGUGUACCCGCGGCAAGACGGAAAGACCCCGUGAACCUUUACUAUAGCUUGACACUGAACAUUGAGCCUUGAUGUGUAGGAUAGGUGGGAGGCUUAGAAGUGUGGACGCCAGUCUGCAUGGAGCCGACCUUGAAAUACCACCCUUUAAUGUUUGAUGUUCUAACGUUGACCCGUAAUCCGGGUUGCGGACAGUGUCUGGUGGGUAGUUUGACUGGGGCGGUCUCCUCCUAAAGAGUAACGGAGGAGCACGAAGGUUGGCUAAUCCUGGUCGGACAUCAGGAGGUUAGUGCAAUGGCAUAAGCCAGCUUGACUGCGAGCGUGACGGCGCGAGCAGGUGCGAAAGCAGGUCAUAGUGAUCCGGUGGUUCUGAAUGGAAGGGCCAUCGCUCAACGGAUAAAAGGUACUCCGGGGAUAACAGGCUGAUACCGCCCAAGAGUUCAUAUCGACGGCGGUGUUUGGCACCUCGAUGUCGGCUCAUCACAUCCUGGGGCUGAAGUAGGUCCCAAGGGUAUGGCUGUUCGCCAUUUAAAGUGGUACGCGAGCUGGGUUUAGAACGUCGUGAGACAGUUCGGUCCCUAUCUGCCGUGGGCGCUGGAGAACUGAGGGGGGCUGCUCCUAGUACGAGAGGACCGGAGUGGACGCAUCACUGGUGUUCGGGUUGUCAUGCCAAUGGCACUGCCCGGUAGCUAAAUGCGGAAGAGAUAAGUGCUGAAAGCAUCUAAGCACGAAACUUGCCCCGAGAUGAGUUCUCCCUGACUCCUUGAGAGUCCUGAAGGAACGUUGAAGACGACGACGUUGAUAGGCCGGGUGUGUAAGCGCAGCGAUGCGUUGAGCUAACCGGUACUAAUGAACCGUGAGGCUUAACCUUACAACGCCGAAGGUGUUU
rnacentral:rRNA from 1 species